rnacentral:lncRNA from 1 species
GUCGUUUUCUGAGUCCCUCGUGUGUGCCAGGCCCUCUGCUAGGGCUGACCCAGGACCCUCUGUUCAAGCGCUUGAGUUGGGCUCAGCAAUUCAGAGGGAGAUUUCAAUAUAAGUGUUUGGUGGGAGAAGAACAUGGGACUUAGGAGGAGUCCCUCAACCUGGGGGCAGCGGGAAGUGACCAACUGAGGACUGAAGGAGAAAUGGGGUCAUGAGGCUGAGUGGGGGAGGGUGGCAAGAAGAGGGCUCUAGCUAAGCCAAGGGUGUGCGCAGAGGCCAGGGCAGGGCGGGGCAGGGACAGAGAGGUGGAAGGAAGAUGGGGCCAGGUGAUGCGGGAUGGGGCAGGAGGCCACCUCAGGCCCCUGUCCUUCAGUUCUGGAGCUUGGCACCAGGAAGUCAAGCUCCGGUUUGUGUAUAGAGUGCUGGCUCCAAAUCAAAGGUGGCCAACAGAUGCUGUCACCAACAGGUGGAAUGGGGGACAGCCCAGGCCUCCUGGUCCUCGUCACUGGAUGCUGCUCAGUGUCCUCUGCACCCGCUCCCAGGUCUGGCCCAGCAGGAACUGCUCGACAGGUGACAGGUAAUGAAGGCCCCGGGCUGGUCACCAUGGUUCUGUGGCAUCGUUCUCAAUAGCUGCCCCAUGCCUGCUCCCUUGACCCGGUGUUCCGGCUCCGAGACAACAACACCCUCCUCUCUCCAGGGCAUGUCAUCAUCCCCUUCCUGCGGUGUAAACAUGGGUGACUGCCACCGAUGCUGCUGACUGCCCAGGUUCCAGUAAAAGCCCCUCCUUCCCCUGCCGGUUUCCCUCUCAUCACGCCCAGCUUGGCUCACACCCCGUCCUCCUCCCGCCACCCAGCCUGCUCCCUAGAAAGCACCGGAUGGAGCGCAUCCUGAGCUCCCGCAUGGGGGAGGCUGGAGGCCGUCAGUCUGCGGUUCUCCCAGGGUCCCAUCCACAUCUGUCAGGCCUGACCUGGCCCCGGGGCCCCAGUCCCAGGUGGGAACUUCUAGCUUGGGUGUUGGAUCCUGUCCAGGGCUCUGUACCAGAGCCCGCCUGGGUUCCUGCUGGGCUUCCAAAUGACUGCAGAGCGGAGACCUCCAGGUCCUAAGCCCCCCCAGCCACUCCCCCUCUCCUUGCCUCGCCUGUUCUAGGGAACCUGGGAGGGUGAGCCAUGAACCCACUUGCUUCAGAAUCAGGAGGCGUGCGGCCUGUAAUCCCAGGGACUCAGGAAGCUGAGCCAGGAGGGUUGAAAGUUCCAAGCCAGCCUCCGCAUCUUAGUGAGGCCCUAAGCAACUCAGUGAGUCCCUGUCUCUAAAUUAAAAAAUGGUCUGGAGAUGGGUCAGGUUAGGCGCCCCCGAGUUCAACCCCUGG